rfam:Mycobacterium avium 2285 (S) gma2285S.contig.6, whole genome shotgun sequence.
AAGCGACCAAUUCGAAGCGCCGGAACACGGGGUAGGAAUCCGGCCGCGUAGGACACGCGUAAGACGGAGUCAGACGCCCCCUGGAGUCGCACCGGGCCUGCCCAUAUUG